CAUAAAAACAGCUGAAGGCAUGUGUUGCAUAUGCAUGAUGAGAUUGAUUGCAACGAUGAACACCAUAGGUCUGCCUAGAGGCAGAGGAGUUGGAGCUGGAGGAAGGCCACAUCUGGGACAUUUCUGAGGAGCUUGGGGAAAGAUCAGGAAACUCAAGAGAAAGGAAGGAGCAGAUGGUGCAUAAGAGGUGAUCUGCAGCAGAUUUCAUCUUGGGAACAAGAGAAGAGAGUUGUCCCACAGGGGAGAAGCACAAGAAACCAUUGAAGGUCAGCACCAUGGGUGCAACCACAACUUCCUGAUGCACUGAUUUUGGCAGCUGGCCACCAGGUCCCUGAGAGCAGCUACGGAGGCUGUGGCUUCUCUCCUGUCCUGCUGACUUUGCACAGUAUUUCUAGUUGUAGUUGAUAUUAAUAGGGAAAAAAAAAAAGAAGGGUGAGAAGUUAUGCCCAAGUUCAAGAAUGCAACAUUUUCAUGGACAUGCUGCUUGUUAACAAAAUAAAAUAAAAUAAUAAAAUGGAAUGUCAGAUGUCACCUGCUUGUAGCUCCUAUGGAGCAUUUAAGUUUUGUUGAGUCAGUGUGGUUUUUCCCAUUCUUAGGCUAAGCACCAAGGCAGCUCUUUCUAAGAUAGAUCUUUGAGCUUCUGAAGUAGUGAAUGCCAUUUGAUUAACACAUUCUAUUGUACAAAAUAAAUAAAUAAAUGUACUCUUUGUACAAUUUUAGAGUAAUUUUGUUAGGUACAUUCAGCAGGAGCAGCAGGCUGCAAAUUCAUAACAUUACUGAUACUUUGGAUGACUUUUAGACACUGGCAAGCCAAUACUAGUGUCUUCCCCUUGGGUCUAUAGAUCAGUUUGUUUAAAGAACUGUUAGGCAUAAUAAAAUAUUGCAUUUAUUUCUAAAUAUUUACCUGUAAUUGUUGUAAAUAUCAAGCUUUUUAUUACCAGUAACAAUAAUACUUGUAAUUAAUUAACAAGGUCUAAUUCUUCCUUUGCUAAUACAAUCAGCUUUCCAGAGGAUGAAUCUCUUACACAAUGAUAGCAAAGUGAAAAUUUUCCUUGGAUGGAAAAUAUGAUUUAUAAAU
rnacentral:lncRNA from 7 species